AGCCUCAAGUGAUGGACAAAUGCCUGGGGAGCACUAUGACUGAUUGGGAUGUGUUCAUACUGUCUGAUGGGCCC